rnacentral:rRNA from 1 species
AGUGUUGCGGUUAAAACGCUCGUAGUUGGGUUUCUGUCGGGAACUCCGAGUCUGCCCUAGAGGCGAGCACUUGUGAGGCUCCCGGCAUCUUCCUGGGGAACGAGAGUGCACUUUGCUGUGUGCCUCGGAAACCAGGACGUUUACUUUGAGGAAAUCAGAGUGCUUCAGGCGGGCUUUCGCCACGAAUACGUUAGCAUGGAAUAAUAGCAUUGACCUCGGUUCAAAGCUGUUGGUUGCUGGAACCGAGGUUAAGGUAAACAGGUACAGUUGGGGGCAUUCGUAUUUAACUGUCAGAGGUGAAAUUCUUGGAUUUGUUAAAGACGAACUACUGCGAAAGCAUUUGCCAAGGAUGUUUUCAUUGAUCAAGAACGAAAGUUAGGGGGUCGAAGACGAUCAGAUACC